rnacentral:rRNA from 1 species
AACGAACGCUGGCGGCAUGCCUAAUACAUGCAAGUCGAACGAGAUCUUCGGAUCUAGUGGCGCACGGGUGCGUAACGCGUGGGAAUCUGCCCUUGGGUUCGGAAUAACUUCUGGAAACGGAAGCUAAUACCGGAUGAUGACGUAAGUCCAAAGAUUUAUCGCCCAAGGAUGAGCCCGCGUAGGAUUAGCUAGUUGGUGGGGUAAAGGCCCACCAAGGCGACGAUCCUUAGCUGGUCUGAGAGGAUGAUCAGCCACACUGGGACUGAGACACGGCCCAGACUCCUACGGGAGGCAGCAGUAGGGAAUAUUGGACAAUGGGGGAAACCCUGAUCCAGCAAUGCCGCGUGAGUGAUGAAGGCCUUAGGGUUGUAAAGCUCUUUUACCCGGGAUGAUAAUGACAGUACCGGGAGAAUAAGCUCCGGCUAACUCCGU